UGCUGUCCCUAGGAAAUCAGAUGCC
rnacentral:piRNA from 1 species